GGUUAUGGCUCAGCGGUAGAGCACUCGCCUAGCAUGUGCAGGUCCUGGGUUUGAUCCUCAGCACCA
rnacentral:tRNA from 1 species